rnacentral:rRNA from 1 species
AUUGAACGCUGGCGGCAUGCCUUACACAUGCAAGUCGAGCGCGAAAGGGGGCAACCCCGAGUAGAGCGGCGGACGGGUGAGUAACGUAUCGGAACGUGCCCAGUAGUGGGGGACAACCUCGAGAAAUCGAGGCUAAUACCGCAUACGACCCACGGGUGAAAGCGGGGGACCGCAAGGCCUCGCGCUAUUGGAGCGGCCGAUGUCCGAUUAGCUAGUUGGCGGGGUAANAGCCCACCAAGGCGACGAUCGGUAGCUGGUCUGAGAGGACGACCAGCCACACUGGGACUGAGACACGGCCCAGACUCCUACGGGAGGCAGCAGUGGGGAAUUUUGGACAAUGGGGGCAACCCUGAUCCAGCCAUGCCGCGUGCGGGAA